CAUCUUGGUUCAUGGUCUAUGUAGGCUGGCCUCUGAAUAUUAGGAUUUUCUGAGAUUGCCAACUUCGACGACAAAUCCGUUCGGACAUUCUCUGAUCUAGGUAUCUGCAAAAUCUCAAACUUAUUGAAAGAAAGGGUUAUUUCUUGUAUCUUCUAUAGAUAUAUGGAAGAUGCCUUUGCCUUGUAUUCCCCUCGAACUUGGCCAACCACC
rnacentral:lncRNA from 1 species